UUCAGACAACACUUUCCUUUUCUUAUCUGCGGCUGCAAAUGGGGUUUGAACUGGAGUUAUGGUUUGGUUGAUUAAUGGAAGAUUCUGAAGGAGAUGUUGUCGAAAUUAAGAAGAUUAGGUCAUGGAUUCAAGUUGUUAUUUCCGUGAAAGAACAAGGAAUACUGGAAUGGGGGUUUUUGAGAAGAAUUAGGGUUCUUGACUCUGAUUGAUUGAUGCGGUGAAAGAAUGGUGGAUUGAAGAGGUGAUUAGAGAUCUUGUUUGAUCAGGAGAAGUGGGUCAUCUCAGAUUUGAAGCGUCCACCAUGAGUUUGAGAAGGGAAGAAGAUGAAGAAGGUGGAGAUACUGUCAGUGAAAUUGCUGAGAAGAUGGGUUGAUUCAUGGCUGCAAACUGAGAAUUAGAAGAUAAGAAAGCCGGGGUUUAGGCUGUUUUUCGAUUUUAUGGAGUAUUGAGGUCGAAUUCAGAAGAAUAAGAAAUUAAGGUUCCUUUCAUAUGUUCUUCCCCAAAUUCAUUCUACUGCCAUUUGAUUUGAAGCUGAAAGAAGAAAGAAUGGGUGUUGCCGUUCAAAUUGCAGGUGAACUUAAGCUGCAACUGAUGGUGAGUUGCUGCUGUAAGUCGUGAAGCAGAUGAAGAAGGAAUUUGAUCUCAGAUGAAUGGUGCUGCUUUGAGGUAGAUGGUUGAGCUACAGGGAAUGUUGGUGUUGGUUGCAGUAGUAUGUCUGAUGCUGACUUGCAGGUAGUUAAGCUGUGAUAUCAAGGUUGGUGGUACUGAGACUGGUUUAAUUCGUGAGAAGAUGAGUGAUCUACUGUGAAGUGAUCUAAAAAGAUAAAUUGCAGGAAAGGAUGGAAUGUAAAAUUGCAGAGAUGGCAUGGUGGUUAUAUUAUGCAGUGAAACUGGUGCUGUUGUUGCUCAUGGAAUUGCGACGAAGAGCAAGAUGAGUUGGUGGAAUUGAAGGCAUGUGAGCAGAUGAGCAAUGGAGUCAAGAAUCUACAGCUGCAGGUUGGUUUUCCACCAAUUGGUGGUGGUCUUGAUGAAAUUGCAAACUGGUUGUGCUGUUGUUGCAAAUGAGCUGAGCUGCAGGUGCAUUGGCAGUCAAGAAGCUAAAGUUGCAGGUGAUGUUGCAGGGAUUUGGUCUAGAAGCUGGGACUUGGUGAUUCAUGGAGAUUGUGAGCUGUAGUCGCAGCUUUGUGUGUGAUGAAGAGGAUGCAAUGCAAUUGCAGUUGGUGGUAAUGAAUUGCUACAGUUUCAUAUGGUGUUGCUCUUGUUGAAUUGAGAUGGAUAUUGCAGGUCCAAUUGAAGAUCUGAGCCUGAGAUGGAGCAUUGGAGAUGUUGGUGCAGCUGCAGUUGGUUGCGUUGAGGAGUUUAGGGCAUGACUUAGAAUUGGCAGGUGCAACUGGCAUUGUGGUGGAAUUGACUGAAAUGAAAAUGGGUUUACAAGUGUAGCAGUUGGGAAUGGAGCAGGUGAAGUGCAGUGACCAGUGAUGGUUGAGGUAAACAGAAGGAGGGUGUUGGUUGUGAAACUGUUAACAGGUAUGAACAGGUGAAGGCUUAAGUAAUUGGCAUUAAAUGAAUGUAUGAAGUUUAUGCAGAAGAUGGGUUCGCAGUGGUUUGUGCUCAAAGUGGUGAUUCCAAUACAAUUGAAAUGGUGAGAUGAAUUGGUCCUGGAAGUGAUGAUGUUGUAUGUUGAUUGCACAGAGAAUGGAGAAUUAAGCUACAACUCAAAUUGUAGCAGGAUAUGGCCUGAGGUGACACUGCAGGUGGUAUUUGAGCUUUAAGCUGUGUGUGUUGUUACAGUGCUGAGUUUGUGUAAGAGAUGGCUAGGUGCAAUUGGAGUUGAGGCAGGUGGAAGGUAGUGAUGCUGAGAUUGUAGAAUAGCAGCUGGAAUUGAAGUUGCAGGGAGUGGGAGCGAUUUUGCUCCAUCACGGCCUGAGAUGGAGUUGUAAUGCACCAUGAUGGUGCUGCAUUGAGUCUGGCCUGCGCAAAUGGCCUAGGCCUAAGUGAUUCAGCCUAGUCAGAUGCUGACUCAUUCAUUUACCUGGCUGACUGUCUGGCUCACCUGACUCGGUAUGACUCACUGAGUUUGACCGAGCUAUCCCAGAUGACCCGACCGAGUUGACUCGUUGACCGGGUACCGGGUGGACUUUGUCGGUUACCUGAGACACUUUGCCGGUUACUUCUCCGACCAUUCUACAGCCGAUUUUCGGCCAUUUUACCAAUUUGCCGGCGAUUAUUUUUAGGACAUAUUUUCACAUAGGUAUUCCUCACAUAUGGGCUUGGUGGACAUCUUAUUAUUGGACUUUGGGCUUUGAAGACCUAAUUUUGGAAAGAGGCAAGGCUACAAAAGGGAAAGUUUUCUAAACUUUAAUCACGUAUUUUUCUAUUUGGAACUUUGGAAAGCGGCGAUUCUACUAGGGUUUGCUUUCGUUUAUUUUUCAUCUUCUUCGAUUUAUUUUUGAUUAUGAUGAACUCAAAGGAUAUGAGUAACUAAACACAUAUUAUUGGUUAUGGGAUAAAGUUGAUUUCCAACAUGUUAUUUGACUCAAUAAAUUAGUUUUGUCUCAA